rnacentral:rRNA from 1 species
CGAACAGCUCAGUAACACGUGGCCAAGCUACCCUAUGGACGUGGACACCCUCGGGAAACUGAGGCUAAUCCGCGAUACGGCUCCCACGCUUGAAUGCGGGGAGCCGGAAACGCUCCGGCGCCAUAGGAUGCGGCUGCGGCCGAUUAGGUAGACGGUGGGGUAACGGCCCACCGUGCCGAUAAUCGGUACGGGAUGUGAGAGCAAAUAGCCCGGAGAUGGAAUCUGAGACAAGAUUCCAGGCCCUACGGGGCGCAGCAGGCGCGAAACCUUUACACUGCACGCCAGUGCGAUAAGGGGACCCCGAGUGCGAGGGCAUACAGUCCUCGCUUUUGUACACCGUAAGGAGGUGUACGAAUAAGGGCUGGGCGAGACCGGUGCCAGCCGCCGCGGUAAUACCGGCAGCCCGAGUGAUGGCCGCUGUUAUUGGGCCUAAAGCGUCCGUAGCCGGCCGAACAAGUCUGUCGGGAAAUCCAUCCGCCUAACGGAUGGGCGUCCGGCAGAAACUGUUCGGCUUGGGGCCGGAAGAUCCGAGGGGUACGUCCGGGGUAGGAGUGAAAUCCCGUAAUCCCGGACGGACCACCGGUGGCGAAAGCGCCCUGGAA